rnacentral:rRNA from 1 species
AAAACUUUUCGCUAAUAGAAGAGCCUAUGUAGGAUUAGGUAGUUGGUAUUUUGGGUAAAAGCCUACCAAGCCUAAGAUCCUUAGCUGUUCUGAGAGGUUGAACAGCCACACUGGGACUGAGACAAGGCCCAGGCUCCAUUUGGAGCCAGCAGUGAGGAAUUUUGGACAAUGAGCGAAAGCUUGAUCCAGCAAUACUACAUGAGUGAAGAAGGCUUUCAAGUUGUAACACUCUUUGGUUGAGGAGGAUAAUGACAGUACUCAACAAAAUAGCCCCGGCUAACUUCGUGCCAGCAGCCGCGGUAAGGCGAAGGGGGCGAGCGUUAUCCGGAAUGACUGGGCGUAAAGGGUCCGUAGGCAGCAUUUUUUGUUGGAAGUUAAAUAAAAAAGCUUAACUUUUUUCCGCUUCUAAAACGUAAAUGCUUUGAGUUUGAUAGAAGAUAGCAGAAUUUCACAAGGAGGGGUGAUAUCCAGAGAUCUGUGAAGGAAUAUCAGAUGCGAAGGCGGCUAUCUAGAUCAACACUGACGUUGAGGGACGAAAGCAUGGGGAGCAAACAGGAUUAGAUACCCUGGUAGUCCAUGCCCUAAAAGAUGAGUGUUCGUGCUUAGAGAACUUUAGGCACUUAGUUAACACGUUAAACACUCCGCCUGGGGAGUACGAUCGCAAGGUUGGAACUCAAAGGAAUUGACGGGGGCCUAUACAAGUGGUGGAGCAUGUGGUUUAAUGCGAUAAUACGCGCGAAACCUUACCAGUUCUUGACAUAAAAAAGAAAAAGUUUGAAAAAGCAAUUUUAAAGAUUUUUACAGGUGCUGCAUGGCUGUCGUAAGCUCGUGUCGUGAGAUGUUAGGUUAACUCCUUUUAACGGGCGAAACCCCUUUUUUUCGUUGCUACUUAAUUUUAUUUUUAAAGCACUCUAAAAAAACUGCUCCCUUUUUUUAAUUCGGAGAGGAAGGUGGGGAUGACGUCAAGUCCUUAUGGCCCUUAUGAACUGGGCUACACACGUGCUACAAUGGUAAAGACAAUAAGAAGUGAUAGGGUAACCUAAAACCAAUCUUUAAACUUUAUCAAAGUUCGGAUUGUGGACUGCAACUCGUCCAUAUGAAGGUGGAAUCACUAGUAAUCGCACAUCAGCAUGUUGCGGUGAAUUUGUACCUAGGCCUUGUACACACCGCCCGUCACGUGCCGGGAGUUGGC